rnacentral:rRNA from 1 species
CCUACGGGGUGCAGCAGUGGGGAAUAUUGGACAAAGGGCGAAGGCCUGAUCCAGCAAUGCCGCGUGUGUGAAGAAGGUCUUCGGGUUGUAAAGUACUUUCAGCGGGGAGGAAGGGAGUAAAGUUAAUACCUUUGCUCAUUGACGUUACCCGCAGAAGAAGCACCGGCUAACUCCGUGCCAGCAGCCGCGGUAAUACGGAGGGUGCAAGCGUUAAUCGGAAUUACUGGGCGUAAAGCGCACGCAGGCGGUUUGUUAAGUCAGAUGUGAAAUCCCCGGGCUCAACCUGGGAACUGCAUCUGAUACUGGCAAGCUUGAGUCUCGUAGAGGGGGGUAGAAUUCCAGGUGUAGCGGUGAAAUGCGUAGAGAUCUGGAGGAAUACCGGUGGCGAAGGCGGCAACCUGGCUCGAUACUGACGCUGAGGCGCGAAAGCGUGGGGAGCGAACAGGAUUAGAUACCCCCGUAGUC